UACGAAGGGUGCAAACGUUGCUCGGAAUUAUUUGGGCGUAAAGCGCACGUAGGCGGCAUUGCAAGUCGGAUGUGAAAUCCCUCGGCUUAACCAAGGAAGUGCAUCCGAAACUGCAGUGCUUGAGUACUUAAGAGGAUCGCGGAAUUCCCGGUGUAGAGGUGAAAUUCGUAGAUAUCGGGAGGAACACCAGUGGCGAAGGCGGCGAUCUGGGAAGAUACUGACGCUGAGGUGCGAAAGCGUGGGGAGCAAACAGGG
rnacentral:rRNA from 1 species